AAUCAACGCUGGCGGCGUGCCUCAGACAUGCAAGUUGAACGAUUAAAGCUCUCUUCGGAGAGUGCAUAAAGUGGCGCACGGGUGAGUAACACGUAAGUAAUCUACCCUCGAGUGGGGAAUAACGUCCGGAAACGGACGCUAAUACCGCAUAACGCAGCGGCACCGCAAGGUGACAGUUGUUAAAGGAGAAAUCCGCUUGAGGAGGAGCUUGCGGCAGAUUAGCUUGNGGUAAGGUAACGGCUUACCAAGGCUACGAUCUGUAACCGGUCUAAGAGGACGGUCGGUCACACUGACACUGAAUAACGGGUCAGACUCCUACGGGAGGGCAGCAGUCGGGAAUUUUGGGCAAUGGGGGAAACCCGUGACCCAGCAACGCCGCGUGAAGGAUGAAGUAUUUCGGUAUGUAAACUUCGAAGAAUAGGAAGAAUAAAUGACGGUACUAUUUAUAAGGUCCGGCUAACUACGUGCCAGCAGCCGCAGU
rnacentral:rRNA from 1 species